AAAGAUCUAGAAUCAAAGAUCCAGUAGCAUGGAGGGGGGAUCACGUGGAAGGUACAGAGGCAGAAUUAUCAUUUCAGCAGUGCUGGGCCUAAAGAUAACCCUCUUCGGUGGGUAUGGUUAUCUGAUGAAGAAAAGUUCCUGUGUUUUGAAGCUCCUUUGUCACAGAUGGAGUCGAAAUGAUGCAGUAAAAGAAAAAUGUUCAUGUUUCACUCAGCUGGUGAGUGUUGGGAUAAGAAGCCAGACCUAGCAAACUGGAAUCCUGUCACUUCCUCUGUAGACACACACUGGAGCCUAAAGAAGACCUCUCUCAAGCUGCUUCCAUGGAAUAGUGAUCCUGACGAUUUGUUUAUUGCCUUGGGGCUUAUUCAGGUCAAAGGUCAGCACAAUAACAAUGAAUUGUGUGGCUUCUCAAUGAC